ACAUAAAAUAAAUUAAAAAAAAAACUUCAAAUAUUAUUUAUGUGAUUUUACGCUUUUUCAUUUUCAUACCAUAUGAUUUAAAAUGCAUGACUCUAGUAUCCCGUAGUGUCUUUUUUUUUUUUCGUUGUUCUCUCGGUUAAUUUUUUCGUUAAAUCAGUGAUAACUAUAUGGUACUAAAGUAGAUAUUCAAUAAAUCAUAAGUGGGGUAUCUAAAGUUUUUUUGUAUAUAAUUUAACGAAAAGUUAAAAGAUGUGCUGACGAAAAUAAAAAAAAAAAAAUCGGCCACAGGGCACUAAAGUGAUACACUUUAAACUACAGAAUAGUAAAAUAAGAAAAUGCGAAAUCUCAUAGGUGAUAUUUACAAAGUUUACUCAUAAAUAAAUAAUAAAAUUAAUGCGCCAAAAAAGGAU
rnacentral:lncRNA from 1 species